AUUUAUAUGGUCAUAGUAAAAGGGUUAAUUUUAUGCAGGUCUCUAUAAACAUAGUGAAUUGUAAAUAUAUUUUUAUAAAAUUUAAUUUUCAUAUGUUGUUUCUAUAAAAGUCCUGAUUUUUUUAAAUAUGUUUCUGUCGUUAGGAUCCGUUAAAAAAAAUUAGUUAACAAUGGAUAAAAUACUUAACCUUAAUUAGUUAAUGAGGUGAAUUGAUCUUUUUCCCUCUCUUUAAUUAACCGUUGGGAUUUUUGAAGAAACAUAUUUUGUUGGGAAUCGGGUACUCGCCCCGUUACCGAAUUUUGUGAAUCCGCAACCCGCACCGAUAUCGACGGUUGUUAGAUUCGGUACUAAUUAUUGGGAUUCCGCAACGGAAGCAUCGAAUCAUGUUUUUACCAUAAAUCUAUCUCUUUAGCAAAAAUUGAUACAAUCACAAAAGAGAGAAAAAUCAAAACAAAAAAUAUACGGAUAAAAUAAAAUUCAUUAAAUAAGAGAAGAUAAUACCUAACUCUUCUUCUGCAUAGAGUAGCUACAAUCCGAGCCAUAUUUUUUAUUCUCUCGUACUCUUCUCUCGUAUUCUAUAAACCCAUAAAGUAGAGAACUUUCCAUGUUCACUCGUGCACUAGGUGCACUCAACCAUAACUUUCUCUCUCCUAAAACGGUUUCAUCCAAGAAGGCAUUCUUUUUUACAGUACUCCCUACUCCAAAAACAUUACAAAAAGUGCUUUUAUAAUGCAUCCUUUAAAAUGUACGCGAAUUCUAAUCCAAUUAGGAUUUCUAUUCCAAUUAACAUUUAAAUCUAUAUUUCAUUUAUCUCCAAUAGAUUUAAAUAUUUAUCCUAGUCUAGUUAGAUUAAUAUUCUAAUUAAUAUUAUAUCUUAAUUUAUCUCCAACAAAUUUAAAUAUUAAUUCUUAUCUAACUAGAUUUAAUCUACAAAUCUAACCAAAUCUUAACGUAUUUGUGAUGGCAAAGAGGUUAUUUUACUUAUAAAAUAAAUAGUAUUUUAACGAUAAUAAAUCAGAAGGACAUAUUUGAAAAAUUAGAAUUUUUACAGGAAAUAUGCGAAAGUUAAAUUUUAUAGAAAUGCAUUUAUAAUUUACUAUAUUUGCACGAAACUGUAUGAAAUUAACCGUAACAUAAACAUAUAUUAUAUAGGUAUUUUCUUCUUCUUCAU
rnacentral:lncRNA from 1 species